ACUCCUACGGGAGGCAGCAGUGGGGAAUUUUGGACAAUGGGCGAAAGCCUGAUCCAGCAAUGCCGCGUGAGUGAAGAAGGCCUUCGGGUUGUAAAGCUCUUUUGUCAGGGAAGAAACGGCGAAAGCUAAUAUCUUUUGCUAAUGACGGUACCUGAAGAAUAAGCACCGGCUAACUACGUGCCAGCAGCCGCGGUAAUACGUAGGGUGCAAGCGUUAAUCGGAAUUACUGGGCGUAAAGCGUGCGCAGGCGGUUUUGUAAGUCUGAUGUGAAAUCCCCGGGCUCAACCUGGGAAUUGCAUUGGAGACUGCAAGGCUAGAAUCUGGCAGAGGGGGGUAGAAUUCCACGUGUAGCAGUGAAAUGCGUAGAUAUGUGGAGGAACACCGAUGGCGAAGGCAGCCCCCUGGGUCAAGAUUGACGCUCAUGCACGAAAGCGUGGGGAGCAAACAGGAUUAGAUACCCUGGUAGUCC
rnacentral:rRNA from 1 species